rnacentral:tRNA from 1 species
AGGAGCAUGGUUUAAGUGGUAAAGUGCUUGCCUAGCAAGUAAGAGGCUCCGAGUUCAAAUCCUAGUACUGCUA